rnacentral:rRNA from 1 species
AACGAACGCUGGCGGCAUGCCUAACACAUGCAAGUCGAACGAGACCUUCGGGUCUAGUGUCGCACGGGUGCGUAACGCGUGGGAACCUGCCCUUAGGUUCGGCCUAACUCCCCGAAAGGGGUGCUAAUACCGGAUCAUGUCUUCCGACCAAAGAUUUAUCGACUUUGGAUGGGCCCGCGUUGGAUUAGCUUGUUGGUAGGGUAAAAGCCUACCAAGGCGACGAUCCAUAGCUGGUCAGAGAGGAUGAGCAGCCACACUGGGACUGAGACACGGCCCAGACUCUUACGGGAGGCGGGAGUGGGGAAUAUUGGACAACGGGCGAAAGGAUGAUCCAGCAAUGCCGCGUGAGUGAUGAAGGCCUUAGGGUUGUAAAGCUCUUUUACCCGGGAGGAUAAUGACAGUACCGGGAGAAUAAGCACCGGCUAACUCCGUG